CGAGUACCAUCAGAUUCUGACAUUAUUCUUAUAGGGUUGCAGGUUGCCCUUAUCAAAAGAAUUUGUCUUGUUCCCGGUUAUAAUACAAGACUUCCAACGGAUUCAUACUGUGCCGUAAUCAUUGACUUGGAAGGGCUGUGUCAAGAUUGACCCCAUUUGACCUGUUCUCAAUGGAUUUCCAACGUAUGCGAUGAUCUUCAAAUAGUGGUUUUGCAUUCUGUUUUGUGCCGAUAACACAAAGUCACGUAGACAAAAAUUUACACGUGCUUUUAGAUAUUUGUCACAGAAUGAGAUAAUAAUAGCAUACUCAUGCAAUGUGAAGAAAGUUGGGUUUCGAAUUCAUUCUCAA